GCACCCCAGUUCUGCCAUGGCUACAUUCUGGCUCUGAUCCCAGCAAUGACAUGAUGAACGUCAGCCCAGCCAGUCCCCCCAACUGAAAAAGGACAUACAAUAAGCUAUUGCUUGUAUUUAAAUGGGUUCAUUUUGAUUGACCACCGGUCGGGAUGCAAGCGGACACAAUACCGACAACGGAAUCCCAAUAUGUGAAAUCCCAACAGGGGCAAGGUAUGGAAAUUACAGCCGGGCUCCCAGGAUGAGAUCACAGACUGAUUUACUGCUCAACUGUACUCCCGAAGUUAAGUAAAUAAACUUUACAGAAAGGAUGCUUACGUUGUUAAGGUUUGAUGUUCACAUAUUAAAUAACUGAUAUCUAAAUGAAUAUUAUUCCCACUGAGAACAAUUAUGUGAAAAUUUUUACAGUGAGACAUUAUCGUUUGACCUGGAGAGGGCACAUUGCCAUGUGGUAUUUGGACAAAAAUAAAUGUGCUUUAUUCUGGCAAUGGUUCUAAACGUUCAUGUGUCCUCCUUAUCUUUAUUUGGCAUAUAUCUGUUUAUCGUAAAUAGAUAUACACACAGCAGUGAAA